rnacentral:rRNA from 1 species
AACGAACGCUGGCGGCAGGCCUAACACAUGCAAGUCGAGCGCCCUUUCGGGGGAGCGGCGGACGGGUGAGUAACGCGUGGGAAUAUGCCCUUCUCUACGGAAUAGCCUCGGGAAACUGAGAGUAAUACCGUAUACGCCCUUAGGGGGAAAGAUUUAUCGGGGAAGGAUUAGCCCGGGUUGGAUUAGGUAGUUGGUGGGGUAAUGGCCUACCAAGCCGACGAUCCAUAGCUGGUUUGAGAGGAUGAUCAGCCACACUGGGACUGGGACACGGCCCAGACUGCUACGGGAGGCAGCAGUGGGGAAUCUUAGACAAUGGGGGCAACCCUGAUCUAGCCAUGCCGCGUGAGUGAUGAAGGCCUUAGGGUUGUAAAGCUCUUUCAGCUGGGAAGAUAAUGACGGUACCAGCAGAAGAAGCCCCGGCUAACUCCGUGCCAGCAGCCGCCGCCGUAA